rnacentral:rRNA from 1 species
UAAUUCCAGCUCCAAUAGCGUAUAUUAAAGUUGUUGCAGUUAAAAAGCUCGUAGUUGAAUUUCAGGCCUGGCUGGACGGUCCGCCCUUCGGGUGAGUACUGUCUGUGGUCGGGUCCUACCUUCUGGCGAAGCGUCAUGGCCUUAACCGGCCGUGGCGGGGAACCAGGACUUUUACUGUGAAAAAAUUAGAGUGUUCAAAGCAGGCAAUCGCUUGGAUACAUUAGCAUGGAAUAAUGGAAUAGGACAAUGGUUCUAUUUGUUGGUUUCUAGGACCGUUGUAAUGAUUAAUAGGGAUAGUUGGG